rnacentral:piRNA from 1 species
UGGAUCAUGGAUGGGGAUUGAUGAC